GAUGAACGCUGGCGGCGUGCCUAAUACAUGCAAGUCGAGCGAACGGACGAGGAGCUUGCUUCUCUGACGUUAGCGGCGGACGGGUGAGUAACACGUGGAUAACCUACCUAUAAGACUGGGAUAACUUCGGGAAACCGGAGCUAAUACCGGAUAAUAUUUUGAACCGCAUGGUUCAAUAGUGAAAGACGGUUUUGCUGUCACUUAUAGAUGGAUCCGCGCUGCAUUAGCUAGUUGGUAAGGUAACGGCUUACCAAGGCAACGAUGCGUAGCCGACCUGAGAGGGUGAUCGGCCACACUGGAACUGAGACACGGUCCAGACUCCUACGGGAGGCAGCAGUAGGGAAUCUUCCGCAAUGGGCGAAAGCCUGACGGAGCAACGCCGCGUGAGUGAUGAAGGUCUUCGGAUCGUAAAACUCUGUUAUUAGGGAAGAACAUAUGUGUAAGUAACUGUGCACGUCUUGACGGUACCUAAUCAGAAAGCCACGGCUAACUACGUG
rnacentral:rRNA from 1 species